rnacentral:rRNA from 1 species
CCACAAGGGGUGAAGCCUGCGGUUCAAUUGGAGUCAACGCCAGGAAACUUACCAGGAGAGACAGCAGGUUGAGGGUCAGUCUGAAGAACUUACCUGACGAGCUGAGAGGAGGUGCAUGGCCGUCGCCAGCUCGUGCCGUGAGGCGUCCUGUUAAGUCAGGCAACGAGCGAGACCCCUAUCGGUAAUUGCUAACUGCUCAGAGAUGAGUAGAGGCUAGUUACAGAGACUGCCGUUGAUAAAACGGAGGAAGGAAGGGGCCACGGCAGGUCAGUAUGCCCCGAAACUCCUGGGCCACACGCGGGCUGCAAUGGUAGGGACAAUAGGUUCCGACCUCGAAAGAGGAAGGCAAUCCCGAAACCCUACCCCAGUUGUGAUCGAGGAUUGAAACCCGUCCUCGUGAAUAUGGAAUCCCUAGUAACCGCGUGUCAUCACCGCGCGGUGAAUACGUCCCUGCUCCUUGC